GAUCCUGGCUCAGGAUGGACGCUAGCUACAGGCUUAACACAUGCAAGUCGAGGGGCAUCAGGGUGUAGCAAUACACCGCUGGCGACCGGCGCACGGGUGAGUAACACGUAUCCAACCUGCCCUUUACUCGGGGAUAGCCUUUCGAAAGGAAGAUUAAUACCCGAUGGUAUAACAUGACCUCCUGGUUUUGUUAUAAAGAAUUUCGGUAGAGGAUGGGGAUGCGUUCCAUUAGGCAGUUGGCGGGGUAACGGCCC
rnacentral:rRNA from 1 species